GCUGGGUUGGCAGAGGAGAUGUAGUUGGUUUAGGUUCAAAAGACAAGGUGUAAGUCCUUACCUGGUG
rnacentral:tRNA from 1 species